UACAGAGGGUGCGAGCGUUAAUCGGAAUUACUGGGCGUAAAGCGUGCGUAGACGGUAGCGUAAGUCAGAUGUGAAAGCCCCGGGCUCAACCUGGGAACUGCAUUUGAGACUGCUCUGCUCGGGUGCGGAAGAGGGAAGCGGAAUUUCCGGUGGAGCGGUGAAAUGCGUAGAGAUCGGAAAGAACACCAACGGCGAAAGCACUCUGCUGGGCCGACACUGACACUGAGAGACGAAAGCUAGGGGAGCGAAUGGG
rnacentral:rRNA from 1 species